rnacentral:rRNA from 1 species
CGGCGGACGGGUGAGUAAUGCCUAGGAAUCUGCCUGGUAGUGGGGGACAACGUUUCGAAAGGAACGCUAAUACCGCAUACGUCCUACGGGAGAAAGCAGGGGACCUUCGGGCCUUGCGCGAUUGAAUGAGCCGAUGUCGGAUUAGCUAGUUGGCGGGGUAAAGGCCCACCAAGGCGACGAUCCGUAGCUGGUCUGAGAGGAUGAUCAGCCACACUGGAACUGAGACACGGUCCAGACUCCUACGGGAGGCAGCAGCU